UACGGAGGAUGCAAGCGUUAUCCGGAUUUAUUGGGUUUAAAGGGUGCGCAGGCGGGAUUAUAAGUCAGUGGUGAAAUCUUGCAGCUCAACUGUAAAAUUGCCAUUGAUACUGUAGUUCUUGAGUAUAGUUGAGGUAGGCGGAAUGUGUAAUGUAGCGGUGAAAUGCUUAGAUAUUACACAGAACACCGAUUGCGUAGGCAGCUUACUAAGCUAUUACUGACGCUCAUGCACGAAAGCGUGGGGAUCGAACAGG
rnacentral:rRNA from 1 species